GUGGGGAAUAUUGGACAAUGGGCGAAAGCCUGAUCCAGCCAUGCCGCGUGUGUGAAGAAGGUCUUCGGAUUGUAAAGCACUUUAAGUUGGGAGGAAGGGCAGUAAGUUAAUACCUUGCUGUUUUGACGUUACCAACAGAAUAAGCACCGGCUAACUUCGUGCCAGCAGCCGCGGUAAUACGAAGGGUGCAAGCGUUAAUCGGAAUUACUGGGCGUAACGCGCGCGUAGGUGGUUUUGUAAGUUGGAGGUGAAAUCCCCGGGCUCAACCUGGGAACUGCCUCCAAAACUGCAUGACUAGAGUACGGUAGAGGGUAGUGGAAUUUCCUGUGUAGCGGUGAAAUGCGUAGAUAUAGGAAGGAACACCAGUGGCGAAGGCGACUACCUGGACUGAUACUGACACUGAGGUGCGAAAGCGUGGGGAGCAAACAGGAUUAGAAACCCCAGUAGUCC
rnacentral:rRNA from 1 species